rnacentral:rRNA from 1 species
CCUACGGGUGGCAGCAGUGGGGAAUAUUGGACAAUGGGGGGAACCCUGAUCCAGCCAUGCCGCGUGUGUGAAGAAGGCCCUCGGGUUGUAAAGCACUUUCAGUGAGGAAGAACGCCUGGUGGUUAAUACCCAUCAGGAAAGACAUCACUCACAGAAGAAGCACCGGCUAACUCCGUGCCAGCGGCCGCGGUAAUACGGAGGGUGCGAGCGUUAAUCGGAAUUACUGGGCGUAAAGCGCGCGUAGGUGGCUUGAUAAGCCGGUUGUGAAAGCCCCGGGCUCAACCUGGGAACGGCAUCCGGAACUGUCAAGCUAGAGUGCAGGAGAGGAAGGUAGAAUUCCCGGUGUAGCGGUGAAAUGCGUAGAGAUCGGGAGGAAUACCAGUGGCGAAGGCGGCCUUCUGGACUGACACUGACACUGAGGUGCGAAAGCGUGGGUAGCAAACAGGAUUAGAUACCCUGGUAGUC